GAUGAACGCUGGCGGCGUGCCUAAUACAUGCAAGUCGAGCGAACAGACGAGGAGCUUGCUCCUCUGUCGUUAGCGGCGGACGGGUGAGUAACACGUGGAUAACCUACCUAUAAGACUGGGAUAACUUCGGGAAACCGGAGCUAAUACCGGAUAAUAUAUUGAACCGCAUGGUUCAAUAGUGAAAGACGGUUUUGCUGUCACUUAUAGAUGGAUCCGCGCCGCAUUAGCUAGUUGGUAAGGUAACGGCUUACCAAGGCGACGAUGCGUAGCCGACCUGAGAGGGUGAUCGGCCACACUGGAACUGAGACACGGUCCAGACUCCUACGGGAGGCAGCAGUAGGGAAUCUUCCGCAAUGGGCGAAAGCCUGACGGAGCAACGCCGCGUGAGUGAUGAAGGUCUUCGGAUCGUAAAACUCUGUUAUUAGGGAAGAACAAAUGUGUAAGUAACUAUGCACGUCUUGACGGUACCUAAUCAGAAAGCCACGGCUAACUACGUG
rnacentral:rRNA from 1 species